rnacentral:tRNA from 1 species
GCGGACAUAGCCCAAUUUGGUUGAGGCGCAACUAAAAAUGUAUCUAGUAUCACAGAUACUAACAGCAAGAUUGUUCAGGAAGAGUUGAUGAUAUAAGUUCGAAUCUUAUUGUCCGCACCA